AACAAUAAGAUAUGAAAAUAGAUAAAGCAUACUAGCAUAAAUAAAAGAUCCUAACAUGAUAUUCAAAUGAUUAAGGCAAGGUUUAACAAAGCUUAACCAUCAUUAAGCAACAAAUAGACUCUCAUAGAGAAGGACUUAAAUAUUACAGUAUCACACUAGAGGAUUUUGAUUAAAGAGAAGUGUGUGACGUGCUGCUACUUCCCAACCCCCAAGCAAAGCAUCCAUCCAACAAGUACCUGAGAGGAUAACCAAAAUAGGGGUGAGAUAUAAAAUCUCAGCAAGUAACUAGCUUUAACAAGCUAUUUAAACUACAAGUUCAUUAGACCAUGGUUUAACUAUUAUCAGUAAGUGUAUCUCCUCAAUGAAUAAUAAUAAUAAUAACUCCAACACCCUCAUACAUAAAUAAACCAAUUCGUCACCAAACCUUGGAGAAAAUUCACUUCUCACCACCACUGCCAAACAAAUACCAUAGAAAACCGAUAGCACCCUAAAUGCAAAUGCAAUGCAAAUGCCAUGUCUCCUGCCUUCAUACUCAACAAAGUAUGAAGCUGCACCGUUAUGCCCAAUAAACGAUGCUGUACCGGUACGGUCGCGGCUAUCAAGCGGCGAAUUAACUCCAUAUGCCAUGCAUUGUGAUGCAAUGAAAUGCAAUGCCAAGACAGAUCGCACAAAGAGAGUAUACACCGCAUAUACCAGAUAAGUCUCUCCUCAUUUGACAACAUAAACCUCAUCAUAAUUAUACCAACAAGAGCCAUUACCAAGUUAUAAAGUAAAGAACAAGGCAUAUGUAAUAACAACAGUAAGAUGUGCAUAAACUUGUAAUUGAAUGGAUGAUAUUGGAUAAGUUAUCAUUCUGAAAUUUAAGGUGGAGGUAGCAAAAAUAGCAGAUUAAAGCUUGUAGCAACCACCGCUACGUUACUUGCCUCCCAAAGAAGGAGAUAGCCGCUCUAAGCGUGAUCCGGAGCGUUACCACCUGUUUUGACACAAUAAGAUCAGAACAUAUCCUCAAGCAACCAUGUGCACACAGCAAGUAAAGCACCCAUAUAGCCCAACCCGUCAAACAAGCGACGAUGGUAAACAUCACCUAGGUUAACCGCAGCAGUGCUGCUUCACUUUUUUGUAUCUUUAAAAUUACAAAAGAUAUGACAGCAAGCAAAUACAUCUUAGAAAACUAAGGGAGAAAUCUUACAACUUUGUUCAGAUCCUUUAUUUUUAGCCUAAUCCAAAGAGGGGUAAAAUUGCAGUUGAAUGUGAAGUACAGAAUCUGUCUGAAAUUUCGGGCAGCAGCAUACAAAAAUUCAUAUCUCCCAAACCCCUUGUCCAAAAAUUCUAAAAUUUUGUCAGGACAUAUAUCUCUGAGAAACCUAAAACUUUGUUAUUAUGGUUUUCCACGAAUUCCAUCCUUAAGAUCAUCUAAUACAUCUCUGAACAUCUGCUGUCAAAAAUCUGGACAUUCAGAAACAGCGUCCAAACAAUAUUCAAUAACUGAAGGUAUACUCCACCAAAAAAUAUGAAACUUGGACAGCAGUUACAUCUCAUAAUUCUCUACAACUUUGGUAUAAUCCACUUUUGGAGGAGAAAUCGUUUAGGUCGCCAAAACUACAAGGACAGCAGCACUGCCCGAGCUACAGGACAGCACACCUUAAAUCGACCUUCGAACCGUGUUUUCCCCAACAAAUCCACUAAUCCUCAGGACCAAGAACCUCCUAAAAACAUCAAUUAGCAGAUCUAAAGUGGAUUCACCUCACCUUGGUUGUUCCCCAAACCCUAGGGCAGCGGGAAGAUAUGGGGAAAGGACCGAUCUACAUGGAAGAUGCACCUUUCUUGCUCCUCUUGUUGUCCUCGAUCCGUUUUGCUAGUUUCCCCCAAGGGUUUGCUGCUGUAGAGAGGGGAUUUAGGGAGGGGAAGCCAUGGGAGAGCAGGGAAGGAGGAAGAAACGUGAGAAGGAAGAGAGGACCGGUCUGGAUAAGAUGGGUGGGGGGGGCAACGGGCCAGGGAAAAGGGUUGGGCUGGCUGGGCCUUUGAUUUUUUUUUAGUGUGUUACAUUCUCCCCUCCUUUAAAGAAUUCGUCCCCGAAUUUAACUACUCAAA
rnacentral:lncRNA from 1 species